UUCCCAACACAUAUUCACAUAAAGCACCCAUUCAGUGACCCACAGCUGCAGGUGGAUUUCCACACAGGGAUGAAUGAGGACUCAGACAUCACCUUCCACUUCUGAGUGUAUCUUAGCCAUUAUGUGGUCAUGAACAUCUGUGAAUG
rnacentral:lncRNA from 1 species